rnacentral:rRNA from 1 species
AGAGUUUGAUCCUGGCUCAGGAUGAACGCUGGCGGUAUGCUUUAUACAUGCAAGUCGUACGAGAGUUUUUAACUCAAGUGGCGGACGGGUGAGUAACACGUAAGAAUUUGCCUUUAGGAGGGGGACAACAACUGGAAACGGUUGCUAAUACCCCAUAUGCUUUCGAGUGAAACGGAUUUAUCCGCCUAGAGAGAAGCUUGCGGCUGAUUAGCUUGUUGGUGGGGUAAAGGCUUACCAAGGCGACGAUCAGUAUCUGGUUUGAGAGGACGAUCAGACACACUGGAACUGAGACACGGUCCAGACUCCUACGGGAGGCAGCAGUAGGGAAUUUUCCGCAAUGGGCGAAAGCCUGACGGAGCAAUACCGCGUGAGGGAUGACGGCCUAUGGGUUGUAAACCUCUUUUUUCAGGGAGGAACAAAAUGACGUGUACCUGAAGAAUAAGCAUCGGCUAACUCCGUGCCAGCAGCCGCGGUAAGACGGAGGAUGCAAGUGUUAUCCGGAAUCACUGGGCGUAAAGCGUCUGUAGGUGGUUUAAUAAGUCAACUGUUAAAUCUUGAGGCUCAACCUCGAAAUCGCAGUCGAAACUAUUAGACUAGAGUAUAGUAGGGGUAAAGGGAAUUUCCAGUGGAGCGGUGAAAUGCGUAGAGAUUGGAAAGAACACCGAUGGCGAAGGCACUUUACUGGGCUAUUACUAACACUCAGAGACGAAAGCUAGGGUAGCAAAUGGGAUUAGAUACCCCAGUAGUCCUAGCUGUAAACAAUGGAUACUAGAUGUUGAACAGAU